rnacentral:rRNA from 1 species
UAGGGAAUCUUCGGCAAUGGACGAAAGUCUGACCGAGCAACGCCGCGUGAGUGAAGAAGGUUUUCGGAUCGUAAAACUCUGUUGUUAGAGAAGAACAAGGACGUUAGUAACUGAACGUCCCCUGACGGUAUCUAACCAGAAAGCCACGGCUAACUACGUGCCAGCAGCCGCGGUAAUACGUAGGUUGCAAGCGUUGUCCGGAUUUAUUGGGCGUAAAGCGAGCGCAGGCGGUUUCUUAAGUUUGAUGUGAAAGCCCCCGGCUCAACCGGGGAGGGUCAUUGGAAACUGGGAGACUUGAGUGCAGAAGAGGAGAGUGGAAUUCCAUGUGUAGCGGUGAAAUGCGUAGAUAUAUGGAGGAACACCAGUGGCGAAGGCGGCUCUCUGGUCUGUAACUGACGCUGAGGCUCGAAAGCGUGGGGAGCAAACAGG